AUACGUGUAGGGUGGAGAUGUACAGCCGCUGGUCUGCGUAGCUUUAUUGAAGACGCUUCAUCUCGUCCGCUACCAGCAGCUGAUUCCUCCUCCUGACUAGUGCUUACUGUCACAACAGCGAGCAGGAGACGUCUGUCGCGGCCCAGCCCAACUGGCUGACUGCCGCUUGACGAUGAAGCGAUUUACGACCGUUUCUGACGCGCCUGACACCGACCCCUGAGAGUCGUGUGUGCCGAACGCCCUUUCCAGCAGCACUGGAAACCGA
rfam:Pseudomonas sp. 21C1 contig00004, whole genome shotgun sequence.